AGAGUUUGAUCCUGGCUCAGAACGAACGCUGGCGGCAGGCCUAACACAUGCAAGUCGAACGCGACCUUCGGGUCGAGUGGCGCACGGGUGAGUAACGCGUGGGAAUCUGCCCUGUGGUACGGAAUAACAUCGGGAAACUGGUGCUAAUACCGUAUAUCCCCUGAGGGGGAAAGAUUUAUCGCCAUAGGAGGAGCCCGCGUAGGAUUAGCUAGUUGGUGGGGUAACGGCCUACCAAGGCGACGAUCCUUAGCUGGUCUGAGAGGAUGAUCAGCCACACUGGGACUGAGACACGGCCCAGACUCCUACGGGAGGCAGCAGUGGGGAAUAUUGGACAAUGGGGGAAACCCUGAUCCAGCCAUGCCGCGUGUGUGAUGAAGGCCUUCGGGUUGUAAAGCACUUUCGCACGUGACGAUGAUGACGGUAACGUGAGAAGAAGCCCCGGCUAACUUCGUGCCAGCAGCCGCGGUAAUACGAAGGGGGCAAGCGUUGUUCGGAAUUACUGGGCGUAAAGGGCGCGUAGGCGGUGCUCUAAGUCAGGCGUGAAAGCCCUGGGCUCAACCCGGGAAUUGCGCUUGAUACUGGAGCGCUUGAAUCCGGAGAGGUUGGUGGAAUUCCCAGUGUAGAGGUGAAAUUCGUAGAGAUUGGGAAGAACACCGGUGGCGAAGGCGGCCAACUGGACUGGUAUUGACGCUGAGGCGCGAAAGCGUGGGGAGCAAACAGGAUUAGAUACCCUAGUAGUCCAAGGGCGAAUUCGCCCUUAGAGUUUGAUCCUGGCUCAGAUUGAACGCUGGCGGCAUGCUUUACACAUGCAAGUCGAACGCAGCACGGGGGCAACCCUGGUGGCGAGUGGCGAACGGGUGAGUAACACAUCGGAACGUGUCCAGUUGUGGGGGAUAACCCAUCGAAAGGUGGGCUAAUACCGCAUGAUCUGGCAACAGCAAAGCAGGGGACUCGAAAGGGCCUUGUGCGAUUGGAGCGGCCGAUGUCCGAUUAGCUAGUUGGUGGGGUAAAGGCCCACCAAGGCGACGAUCGGUAGCUGGUCUGAGAGGAUGAUCAGCCACACUGGGACUGAGACACGGCCCAGACUCCUACGGGAGGCAGCAGUGGGGAAUUUUGGACAAUGGGGGCAACCCUGAUCCAGCCAUGCCGCGUGAGUGAAGAAGGCCUUCGGGUUGUAAAGCUCUUUCGGUGGGAACGAAACGGUUACAGCUAACACCUGUGACUAAUGACGGUACUCACAGAAGAAGCACCGGCUAACUACGUGCCAGCAGCCGCGGUAAUACGUAGGGUGCGAGCGUUAAUCGGAAUUACUGGGCGUAAAGCGUGCGCAGGCGGUUACUUAAGUCAGGUGUGAAAGCCCUGGGCUUAACCUAGGAAUUGCGCUUGAGACUGGGUAGCUUGGAGUGUGGCAGAGGGAGGUGGAAUUCCACGUGUAGCAGUGAAAUGCGUAGAGAUGUGGAGGAACACCGAUGGCGAAGGCAGCCUCCUGGGCCAGCACUGACGCUCAUGCACGAAAGCGUGGGGAGCAAACAGGAUUAGAUACCCUAGUAGUCC
rnacentral:rRNA from 1 species